GCUGUGUCUCAAUGAAAGAGCUUCUGUUUUGCAUGCAGAAGUCCCCAGGUUCAAUCCCUGCCAUCUCCA
rnacentral:tRNA from 1 species